GUGGCUGUGGCUCAGUGGGUAGAGCGGGUCGUCCACUAAUCGUUAGGGUUCGCGGUUCGAUUCCCGGCCCACG